UACGUAGGGUGCGAGCGUUAAUCGGAAUUACUGGGCGUAAAGCGUGCGCAGGCGGUUCGUUGUGUCGGCGGUGAAAGCCCGGGGCUUAACCUGGGAAUGGCCGUUGAAACUGGCGAACUGGAGUGUGGCAGAGGGGGGGUGGAAUUCCGCGUGUAGCAGUGAAAUGCGUAGAGAUGCGGAGGAACACCGAUGGCGAAGGCAGCCCCCUGGGCUGACACUGACGCUCAGGCACGAAAGCGUGGGGAGCAAACAGG
rnacentral:rRNA from 1 species